rnacentral:rRNA from 1 species
CCUACUGUUGCUUCGGCGGGAUUGCCCCGGGCGCCUCGUGUGCCCCGGAUCAGGCGCCCGCCUAGGAAACUUAAUUCUUGUUUUAUUUUGGAAUCUUCUGAGUAGUUUUUACAAAUAAAUAAAAACUUUCAACAACGGAUCUCUUGGUUCUGGCAUCGAUGAAGAACGCAGCGAAAUGCGAUAAGUAAUGUGAAUUGCAGAAUUCAGUGAAUCAUCGAAUCUUUGAACGCACAUUGCGCCCGCCAGUAUUCUGGCGGGCAUGCCUGUCUGAGCGUCAUUUCAACCCUCAUGCCCCUAGGGCGUGGUGUUGGGGAUCGGCCAAAGCCCGCGAGGGACGGCCGGCCCCUAAAUCUAGUGGCGGACCCGUCGUGGCCUCCUCUGCGAAGUAGUGAUAUUCCGCAUCGGAGAGCGACGAGCCCCUGCCGUUAAACCCCCAACUUUCCAAGGUUGACCUCAGAUCAGGUAGGAAUACCCGCUGAACUUAAGCAUAUCAUA